rnacentral:lncRNA from 1 species
CAGUCAACAACAUGACCAACUCAAAUGCAUAUCACUACCCUGUUGUCGACCACAACAUACCCGAGCCAUUUAUGCAUACUCAAAACAUGUCAUUUGCUCCUUUCGUGAAUUCUGCUGCUCCCAUUCAGGAACCUUUCGUGAACCUGUCCUCAGACCAAGGUAGCAACUCCUUCAGUUGCUCAGACUUCAGCCUCGAGAAUGACACCAGGACCCCUGACAUAACGUCGGUAGU